CCUACGGGAGGCAGCAGUGAGGAAUAUUGGUCAAUGGGCGCGAGCCUGAACCAGCCAAGUAGCGUGAAGGAUGACUGCCCUACGGGUUGUAAACUUCUUUUAUACGGGAAUAAAAUGAGGCACGUGUGCCGUUUUGUAUGUACUUUAUGAAUAAGGAUCGGCUAAUUCCGUGCCAGCAGCCGCGGUAAUACGGAGGAUCCGGGCGUUAUCCGGAUUUAUUGGGGUUAAAGGGAGCGUAGGUGGGUUGUUAAGUCAGGCGUGAAAGUUUGCGGCUCAACCGUAACACUGCAAUUGAUACUGGCAGGCUUGAGUACAGGUGAGGUAGGCGGAAUUCGUGGUGUAGCGGUGAAAUGCAUAGAUAUCACGAAGAACUCCGAUUGCGAAGGCAGCAUACUAAACUGCCACUGACAUUGAUGCUCGAAAGUGUGGGUAUCGAACAGGAUUAGAUACCCUUGUAGUC
rnacentral:rRNA from 1 species